GGCUCGUUGGUGGAGCGUGUGAUCGUCGUGUGGAGCGAUGAAGAUUCUUCAUUAGAAGACAUGCGAAUCAUCUGGGGUUAUACUCAACAUCUGAAGUCAAGCAAAGAGGAAUGCCAUAAAGACUAAAGUAGUAGAAUAGUUCAUAUGAAGGAGCCUUCCUGAGCAAAAUGGAUUCUGGCACUCUGACCGUUGGUGCCAAAACCCUGUGAAGCUGCAGCAUGUUGAGGAGCAAGGCAAGUGAACUGCAAAAAUAAUGUAAAAUUUUAUAAUAGUCUAUAAAUAAUUUUUAUAUAUUGUGGCAUUGUAUUAGUGUGAAACCUGACCUGUGGAUUUCCACUUCCUUCAGUUGCAUCCUGACUUUUUUAGACUUUGUCUUGCUUAAAGCUACUUACAAAGGUAAAAAAGCCAAAAGAAUCACAACACUAUUAAGGUGGACUGUGAUUCUACUGUAAUUUGACCAUCGAGCCAUUUGUGUAGUUACUCUAGGUACGUUCAGCAUGCAGAUUCUACACUUAAAAGCUGUUCUAGUCUUCUGCCAUUUAAAUGUGAAUGUAAGUAGGAAUCUUUCUUCCAGUGUCAUAUGCAAAACAAUAGUGUUUCUUUCCAUUUUACAUGACAGCAGAGACAGUUUUUGGUAUAAACUUCUGGCUGUGCCGAAAACUGACAUCAGCUUCAAGCUUUGUAUGUCAUUUUAAAAUCAGAAUUUGGUUACUGAUGAUUUGGUUUCAUGAAAGUGAUUGUUGUG